rnacentral:rRNA from 1 species
GAUGAACGCUGGCGGCGUGCCUAAUACAUGCAAGUCGAGCGAACGGACGAGAAGCUUGCUCCCCUGAGGUUAGCGGCUGACGGGCGAGUAACACGUGGAUAACCUACUUAUUAGUCUGGGAUAACUACGGGAAACCGGAGAUAAUAACAGAUCAUACUUUGAACCGCAUGGAUCAAAAGUGAAAGACGGUUUUGCCGUCACUUAUAGAUGGAUCCGCGCUGGAUUAGCUAGUUGGUAAGGUAACGGCUUACCAAGGCAACGAUGCGUAGCCGACCUGAGAGGGUGAUCGGCCACACUGGAACUGAGACACGGUCCAGACUCCUACGGGAGGCAGCAGUGGGGAAUCUUCCACAAUGGGCGAAAGCCUGACGGAGCAACGCCGCGUGAGUGAUGAAGGUCUUCGGAUCGUAAAGCUCUGUUGUUGGGGAAGAACAUCAGUGUAAGAAACUGUCCACGUCUUGACGGUACCUAAUCAGAAAGCAACGGCUAACUACGUG